rnacentral:lncRNA from 1 species
GUAUUAAAACUUAUGACUUCCAGAACCAGAAAAAUUAUGAAUUUAAAUAAUAUAAAGAAACAGACCAUUUGUUUUUAUAUCAUCAAGGUAUGAUUAAGCAUGGGUUUUAAUCACAGGAAAUCAUCGAGGAGUUAUCUACUUCAAUAAGGAAACAAAAGAAGAGUUAGAGAGACGCAAACAAACUUGCCGAGAGACAAGGAAGGCUCUUAGGGAAGUUACAGUGGACCGCAAUGAAAACAAACAUCUGAAAGAACGCCAUAUGGAAACCGAAAAGAAACUCCGCGAACAGGCAGAAAAACUUCUAGCAGUUGCUAAUGUUGCAACAUCUGAUGCCAUGAAGCUUCUUCAGAAGAUCGAGCGCAAAGAUUACGUAGAAACUUCUAACUCUGCAGCGACCGGUCAUCUCUACUCGUCUCUGCAAAAUCAGUUUGAUGUCGCCGCAAGGAUCAGUGAACGCCAGAGCCGUAGUGAAGCAGAAAUGUUCAGCAUGCUCAAUAACUUCCUUGCCAAUACUUCCAAGGUGCAGGCGGACUGUUUGGAUCGCCUUAGAGACCACCUCGGGAUGAUUUGUGAUGUUUUAUCUGAAAGAAUGAGAAAGUAUGCAGACCUAUGUCAAGAUUGGAGGAAAGAAAAACACACUAAAUUGAUGGCUGAUUUGAGUGUUUUGAAAGAGAAGAUUGACUCAAACAAUGUCACGCUCAACGAAACCAUAUUCGACGGAAUCAUCCCCAAGCUACAAGAUGUUUUUGAUCACUUAAAUGAUUUCGAUAAGUUCCUGGUGAAGUUCAACAAAACCAGUGACAAAGCAAAAAAAGACAUCACUAUGUUGAGUCGGGAAACGAAGAAGUUGGCAAAAUCAUUCAAAGAGAUGUUCGAAACCCAUUUAACCAAACUGAAGAGUAUCGUAUCGGAAGAAGAAGAAUUGGAUGAUUUGGAAGCCAAACUUCGUGAAGUACAGGAUGCGAGAGUGGAGGACCGUAAGAAAAUGGUUCUUUCCAUGCAAGAGGCGCUUUUGGAAUUUAGUAAGAAUGAUGAUAAGAGGCAUGAAGAGGGCUUGAGUAUGUUGGCGUUGUUCAGCACUGCAUCAAAGAAAACUCGUCUUGCAAUGAGAGAAUUGUCCAGUGCAAUCACUGAGGAUAUCAAGGCAUGUGAACCAAACUUUGCCGAAGUCAUGAGCGUCUUGAACAAAGUUGAAGACAAUCUAAAGCAUCAGCAAGACUCAACCGUCGAAAAGUUGCAAUCUUGGAAGAAUUCGGAAAGUGAGCGGUUGACUGCCAUCAUCGGGAGUGUUGAAAACCUAUCAUCAGUUUCGAAAGAAUCUCAGAAAAGCUUUGACUCUUGGAGUGCUGGUUUUAAUGAAGGUUUGGUCGAAAGCGACACCAAGGAAGAACAACUUGAAAGAGAGCAAGAAGAGGGCAUUCUUGAAGAAGUGAGCAACCAGAUAUCACAGUCUGAAACAGUUCUAAAUGACUAUGCGGAAUGCCAUCUAACAGCCAUCUCGGAAAUGGGCAAUAUCAUGCAAGAUCACCUUGCAAAUGCUGAAAAAUUACGUAAAGAACUAGAAGAAAACAUGCAGGCUCAAAACAACGUCCUCGAGAAAUUCGUUCAGGAGGACUUCAAGAAGGAUAUCCCCACAGGCUCUACUCCGCAGAAACGUGAAUUCGACUAUCCACAGGACCUCACUGCCACUUCUCCACAUGAGAUAAUUCUUGCCAGAUUCCGAGAGACAGUCAAUCAUGAACUUUCUUUCAAUGAUUCCUUAGCAGAGUCAAUCCAUUCCGAGGCCUCACAGGAAAUGGGAGCCUCAACAACUGCAGAGACAACCUCCUUAGUCACAUCAGUAUCUGACAGUUCUAUCAGUUCAGAUCAGAAAGAAAAUACGGCUACAGACACUAGAGAUACUGAUGUGGUUACUCUUCCAAAAUCCAAGAGAAUCAAUCAGUCAUCCAUCCCUCAAAUGACACCCAGGAAGAAAGUCCUAGGUGAAAUGAAUUAAUUGCUUGUAAUGGAUGGAAGCAGGGCGUUCUCUAAAAGAGACGCGUGCCCUUUUUCCACAUACCCAUGAUCUCUAAAUGCCUUUCUUAUACAUAUCAAACUGAACACAGUAAUACUUUUUAAAAAAAUUUAUUUGUAGGAUUAUGUGUGCUGCCAAGUUUUAUAAAUUUUAACAGGUUUUUUAAGUGUUUAAAAUGUAUACCGUUAGGUUAACGUAAUGAUUUUGCUAUGAUAUUGAAAAAUGCAUGAUAUUUUGAGUAAUUUUGGCGUAUUGCAAUUUUCUCUGUCAUUUCAAAGAUGCAUCAAAUCUUCAUCCUAUCUUUAUCUCCCAUCUUUUUUUCCACCCUUAUCUUAUUUUAUCUCCUUUUUUCAUCAACUUGUGAGUCCAAGCGCGUACCUUAAUUUUCCUUUUUGAUUCGUGGGUCCAAUUAGUACCAUAUUUUCCCUUAAUUUAAUUUAUUCCUGUACUAACCUUCAUACUUACCCUUACUCAUCCCUGAAUUCAAUACCUAGUUGUCUACUUUAAAUUCGAAAUCUCUGUGCUACUUUGUCUCCGGUACUGCACUAAAGCGUAAAGGUCUUACUUGAAACAAAGAUCACUGUUUGAAACUUGGUUUCUGUUUAAAUGUUGCAUUGAAGUCAUUCAGAAAGGUUGACACCCCUUUUCUCUUGUAACUGAUUCUUCUUUUUUAUCACCUGUAUCAUUGAGCUUGACUUCUUCAUGUUCUUUCCCUUUCAUGCCUUUUAAUUCAUUGAUAUAGAGCAACUUUGAGCCAUUGUUAAUGGCUGACCAGCUUGGUCAUCAUAUUUUUCAUACAUUCAUUUUGGAAUGAACUGAGCGAAAUUGAUUUUUUGAGGAAACUUAGAAUCAAUUUGUCUCCGUUUCAUUUACUUUCUAUGUUUACAAGAUAUGUCGAUGUUUUAUAUUUUAUUAAAUUCAUUUGAUUUAAAAUUGUUGUUGUUUCUUUUCUGUUAAUACUUAUUUUUUGUUUACAAUAGUAAUUAUCCUGGAAAAUAAAUACAGUAGAAUCCAAUAGCUUAUUCUAUU